rnacentral:rRNA from 1 species
CGCAAGGUGCUGACGAGUGGCGAACGGGUGAGUAAUGCAUCGGAACGUGCCCAGUCGUGGGGGAUAACGCAGCGAAAGCUGCGCUAAUACCGCAUACGAUCUACGGAUGAAAGCGGGGGACCGUAAGGCCUCGCGCGAUUGGAGCGGCCGAUGUCAGAUUAGGUAGUUGGUGGGGUAAAGGCUCACCAAGCCGACGAUCUGUAGCUGGUCUGAGAGGACGACCAGCCACACUGGAACUGAGACACGGUCCAGACUCCUACGGGAGGCAGCAGUGGGGAAUUUUGGACAAUGGGCGCAAGCCUGAUCCAGCAAUACCGCGUGCAGGAAGAAGGCCUACGGGUUGUAAACUGCUUUUGUACGGAACGAAACGGCGAGCUCUAAUACAGUUUGCUAAUGACGGUACCGUAAGAAUAAGCACCGGCUAACUACGUGCCAGCAGCCGCGGUAAUACGUAGGGUGCAAGCGUUAAUCGGAAUUACUGGGCGUAAAGCGUGCGCAGGCGGUUUUGUAAGACAGUCGUGAAAUCCCCGGGCUCAACCUGGGAAUUGCGAUUGUGACUGCAAAGCUGGAGUGCGGCAGAGGGGGAUGGAAUUCCGCGUGUAGCAGUGAAAUGCGUAGAUAUGCGGAGGAACACCGAUGGCGAAGGCAAUCCCCUGGGCCUGCACUGACGCUCAUGCACGAAAGCGUGGGGAGCAAACAG